UAGCUAGUUGGUGAGGUAAAGGCUUACCAAGGCGACGAUCUGUAGCGGGUCUGAGAGGAUGAUCCGCCACACUGGAACUGAGACACGGUCCAGACUCCUACGGGAGGCAGCAGUGGGGAAUUUUGGACAAUGGGGGCAACCCUGAUCCAGCCAUGCCGCGUGAGUGAAGAAGGCCUUCGGGUUGUAAAGCUCUUUCGGCCGGGAAGAAAUCGCAUGGGCCAAUACCCUGUGUGGAUGACGGUACCGGAAUAAGAAGCACCGGCUAACUACGUGCCAGCAGCCGCGGUAAUACGUAGGGUGCGAGCGUUAAUCGGAAUUACUGGGCGUAAAGCGUGCGCAGGCGGUUUUGUAAGACAGGCGUGAAAUCCCCGGGCUUAACCUGGGAACUGCGUUUGUGACUGCAAGGCUAGAGUACGGCAGAGGGGGGUGGAAUUCCACGUGUAGCAGUGAAAUGCGUAGAGAUGUGGAGGAACACCAAUGGCGAAGGCAGCCCCCUGGGUUGAUACUGACGCUCAUGCACGAAAGCGUGGGUAGCAAACAGGAUUAGAUACCCUGGUAGUCCACGCCCUAAACUAUGUCAACUAGGUGUUGGGUGGGUAAAACCAUUUAGUACCGUAGCUAACGCGUGAAGUUGACCGCCUGGGGAGUACGGCCGCAAGGUUAAAACUCAAAGGAAUUGACGGGGACCCGCACAAGCGGUGGAUGAUGUGGAUUAAUUCGAUGCAACGCGAAAAACCUUACCUACCCUUGACAUGCCAGGAACUUGCCAGAGAUGGCUUGGUGCCCGAAAGGGAGCCUGGACACAGGUGCUGCAUGGCUGUCGUCAGCUCGUGUCGUGAGAUGUUGGGUUAAGUCCCGCAACGAGCGCAACCCUUGUCGUUAAUUGCCAUCAUUUAGUUGGGCACUUUAACGAGACUGCCGGUGACAAACCGGAGGAAGGUGGGGAUGACGUCAAGUCCUCAUAGCCCUUAUAGGUAGGGCUUCACACGUCAUACAAUGGUCGGUACAAAGGGUUGCCAAGCCGCGAGGCGGAGCCAAUCCCAGAAAGCCGAUCGUAGUCCGGAUUGCAGGCUGCAACUCGCCUGCAUGAAGUCGGAAUCGCUAGUAAUCGUGGAUCAGCAUGUCACGGUGAAUACGUUCCCGGGUCUUGUACACACCGCCCGUCACACCAUGGGAGCGGGUUCCGCCAGAAGUAGGUAGCCUAACCGCAAGGGGGGCGCUUACCACGGCGGGGUUCGUGACUGGGGUGAAGUCGAACAAGGUAGCCGUAGGGGAACCUGCGGCUG
rnacentral:rRNA from 1 species